AUUUUUAGGAUUCACCAUUGGAGAAAAUUGGUCUCCCAUAGAAUUAUCGAAACCUGCCAUUUAAAUCAAAGUGAAGAAGCUUAAAAAGCAGUCUAGAAAAAGGGAAAGAAAGAAGGGGGAAACAGAUGGACGAGGAAGGGUGAUCAAGAAAAUCCAUCUAAGAACAAAGAUAAACGAUAGAGUAAUGAAACAACAGAAAAAAUACUUCAAAAGUACUUUCAAAAAACUACAGCAAAGAUGGAAUUGAAGAAAGAUGAACCCAGCAUAGUAGCAAUCCGAAUAAAGAAGAUAGAAAAA
rnacentral:lncRNA from 1 species